rnacentral:rRNA from 1 species
AUUGAACGCUGGCGGCAUGCCUUACACAUGCAAGUCGAACGGCAGCACGGGAGCAAUCCUGGUGGCUAGUGGCGAACGGGUGAGUAAAGUAUCGGAACGUGCCCAGUCGGGGGGGAUAACGUAGCGAAAGUUACGAUAAUACCGCAUACGAUCUAAGGAUGAAAGCGGGGGAUCGCAAGCCCUCGCGCCGUUGGAGCGGCCUAUAUCGGAUUAGGUAGCUGGUGGGGUAAAGGCUCACCAAGCCGACGAUCUGUAGGUGGUCUGAGAGGAAGACCAGCCACACUGGGACUGAGACACGGCCCAGACUCCUACGGGAGGCAGCAGUGGGGAAUUUUGGACAAUGGGCGAAAGCCUGAUCCAGCCAUGCCGCGUGCAGGAUGAAGGCCUUCGGGUUGUAAACUGCUUUUGUACGGAACGAAAAGGUUUGGCCUAAUAAGCUGAGCUCAUGACGGUACCGUAAGAAUAAGCACCGGCUAACUACCUGCCAGCAGCCGCCGUAA